rnacentral:rRNA from 1 species
UUCUGUGAAACGUUGCUUAUCCUUCGAAAAAUAAGACACAGGUGCUGCAUGGAUGUCGUCAGCUAGUGUCGUGAGAUGUUGGGCUAAGUCCCGCAACGAGCGCAACCCUCGCCAUUAGUUGCCCUCAUUUAGUUGGGAACUCUAAUGGGACUGCCGGUGCUAAGCCGGAGGAAGGUGGGGAUGACGUCAAGUCCUCAUGGCCCUUACAGGGUGGGCUACACACGUGCUACAAUGGCGACUACAGAGGGUUAAUCCUUAAAAGUCGUCUCAGUUCGGAUUGUCCUCUGCAACUCGAGGGCAUGAAGUUGGAAUCGCUAGUAAUCGCGGAUCAGCAUGCCGCGGUGAAUACGUUCCCGGGCCUUGUACACACCGCCCGUCACACCAUGGGAGUUGGUUCUACCCGAAGGCGCUGCGCUGACCGCAAGGAGGGCAAGGGCGACCCACGGGA